UAUGAAACCCAUUUGAGCGAGAAUAGUACUAGGAUGGGUGACCUCUUGGGAAGUCCUCGUGAAAGGGUUUCAUAU
rnacentral:rRNA from 1 species